GCGGGAUAAAAACACUGCCCGGUUGGUAGUCCGGGCGCUGCCGGGGAUUUCUCCGGGCAGUCAGUAACCUGCCUCCUUUGGUUGUCCGUUCCCGCU
rnacentral:ncRNA from 1 species